UACGAGGGGGGCGAGCGUUGUUCGGAAUUAUUGGGCGUAAAGGGUGCGUAGGCGGUUUGGUAAGUCUUGUGUGAAAUCUUCGGGCUCAACUCGAAGUCUGCACGAGAAACUGCCGGGCUUGAGUAUGGGAGAGGCGCGUGGAAUUGCAGGUGUAGCGGUGAAAUGCGUAGAUAUCUGCAGGAACACCCGUGGCGAAAGCGGCGCGCUGGACCACUACUGACGCUGAGGAACGAAAGCUAGGGGAGCAAACAGG
rnacentral:rRNA from 1 species